rnacentral:rRNA from 1 species
UCAGAAGCAGCCACCAUUUAAAGAGUGCGUAAUAGCUCACUAGUCGAGUGAUCCUGCGCCGAAAAUGUACCGGGGCUAAGCAUACUACCGAAACCAUGGAUGCGACCAUUAGGUCGCGUGAUAGGAGAGCGUUCUAAGGGCGGUGAAGCAAGAUCGCGAGGACUUGUGGAGCGCUUAGAAGUGAGAAUGCCGGUAUGAGUAGCGAAAGAUAGGUGAGAAUCCUAUCCACCGAAUGACUAAGGUUUCCUGGGGAAGGCUCGUCCUCCCAGGGUUAGUCGGGACCUAAGUCGAGGCCGAGAGGCGUAGACGAUGG